AUGGACCAAUCCAUCCCUUUUUCCCGUGCAUAUGCAUCGGACUCGGAUGACGAUGGUCCCGAUGAAGAAGUUGAUGAGGAGGGGUUCACGCCGAAGGAGGCCCAAGCAUUCAAGAAGGUAUUCGGGCGGGAUCACAAGACACCAUUGUUCAAGGAUCUUAGUCUCGCGGAUGAAGCCAUUGUGGAUGGUGGCAAAUGCAUAUCUCUUGGAGCUAGGCCAAGCUCUCAUCGUGAUUUGGAAGACGGCAAGAACGGGAUAUAUCCCGGUUGUGAGUUUCAAUCCUUCUUGGAAUUGAAGAUGUGGCUCGACAACUAG
rnacentral:rRNA from 1 species